GCGGGGGCGUGUCGGGGGCGUGACUAGGGAGUCCGGCGUGGCAGCUGCAGUCCCGGGCCAAAGUGUGCCUUCAGCCAGAAGCUGAACUGGAAACAUCCUAAGUGGGCUGCUAAUGAGGCUAGCUCUGUUGACUAGUUCAAGACCCCUGGCAGCUUUGGCCCUGAGGUUUCUCAACUUCCAAGUGAAAGGCUUCAACUUGGCAUUGUGGGACAUGACCUCUGGAACCAUCAGUUUCCUUAUCUGUAAAACUGGCAUCAUGAUAACUUUGAAGCUCUACAAGGAACGACCCAGGCCAGAAACCUGCCAAAUCCUGUCAAGUACUGUGAUCUGCAAAACGGAUCUGCCCCAGGAAAGCCCGGGAAGGUGGGGCUGGAUGGAGGGUGUGUUCCAGUUGGAACAUCUGCUCUGAGCCAGGCACAGUGGGGAAAACCAAGAUGGAUUCAUUAUGGCCCUGCUCUCAUGAU